ACGGGUGAGUAAUGUCUGGGAAACUGCCUGAUGGAGGGGGAUAACUACUGGAAACGGUAGCUAAUACCGCAUGACCUCGUAAGAGCAAAGUGGGGGACCUUCGGGCCUCACGCCAUCGGAUGUGCCCAGAUGGGAUUAGCUAGUAGGUGAGGUAAUGGCUCACCUAGGCGACGAUCCCUAGCUGGUCUGAGAGGAUGACCAGCCACACUGGAACUGAGACACGGUCCAGACUCCUACGGGAGGCAGCAGUGGGGAAUAUUGCACAAUGGGCGCAAGCCUGAUGCAGCCAUGCCGCGUGUGUGAAGAAGGCCUUAGGGUUGUAAAGCACUUUCAGCGAGGAGGAAGGGUUCAGUGUUAAUAGUACUGAGCAUUGACGUUACUCGCAGAAGAAGCACCGGCUAACUCCGUGCCAGCAGCCGCGGUAAUACGGAGGGUGCAAGCGUUAAUCGGAAUUACUGGGCGUAAAGCGCACGCAGGCGGUUUGUUAAGUCAGAUGUGAAAUCCCCGAGCUUAACUUGGGAACUGCAUUUGAAACUGGCAAGCUAGAGUCUUGUAGAGGGGGGUAGAAUUCCAGGUGU
rnacentral:rRNA from 1 species